AGAACAGGCCUCCUUAUCGCCCCGACGCGGUUUCUGAGAAUAGUAUUGUUCGUCGGGGAGGAAAGUCCGGACACCGUAGUGCAGUGUAGCGGGUAACGCCCGCCCUCCGCUUUGGCGGAGCGGACCAGUGCAACAGAAAGUAUGUACAGGUAAUGCUGUAGUGAAAUCCGGUAAACUCUACACGGUGAAACGCCAUGUACACCGGCGCUUUAAGGGCUGCACGUCCAAGCCGGAGGGUAGGCGGUUAGAGGCGGCUGGCAACAGCCGUCCCAGAGAAAUGAUAAGGGUCCCGUCCCGCCAACUAUCGGGAUCGCGGGAUACAGAAUCCGGCUUACCGGCCUGUUUUUUUC
rnacentral:RNase_P_RNA from 1 species